rnacentral:rRNA from 1 species
AUAUGUUUUCUUUUUUUUUUUUUUGGUAUUGCAUACUAGUAGAUUAUGUUUUUAUUUUGUAUAAUUAAUAGAGUUGGAAUGUUAAGGGGUUUGAUAUUUUUUGUUGUUACAAAAUUUAUAAUAUCGGCUUUGGUAUUGAGAUAACGUAUUCUUUUUUCUGUUUUUUUUUUUAUUUAUGUUGAGUUUUUUGGUUAUUGUUUUUUUUUGUUUUGGGGUUUUAGGUUUUUUUUGAUGUUUUGGAUUUUGGGUUUUUUUGUUUUGUUUUUUUGUGGUUAAUUUUUUAAUUGCUUUAGAGUUUUUAUUUUAGUAGUUUUUUUGUUUUUUGAUGGUUUUUUUUUAAAUUUUAUUUUUUGAACUUGGUUUUUUGCCAAAUGUUUAUUAAAAACUUAGAUUUUUUUUUAAAGUUGUCUUCUGCCCAAUGAUUGGAUUUUAAUGGCAACCAUAGCGUGACGGUAUAAAAGUAGCAUAAGUGAUUUGUUUUUUUAUUGUUUUCAUGUAUGAAUGGAGUUUUUGGCAAGUUAUUUAAUUUUUUUUUUUAUGAAUUAUUUUUUUUAUUAAAAAUUAUUGAUUUGAAUAUUACAAAGAUAAGUCUUCGGAAACUUUUUUAAAUAAUUUUUUAAUUUUUUUUGUUAUUUAAAUUUCUUGGGGAUGGAUUUUAAGAAAUUUUUUUUACUAGUUAUAAAUUUGGGAGUUACUUCGGAGUUAACAGGGUUGCAGACAUAUAAAUAGGUUUUGAUAUUAUUGUGCUGUGCUACAUCGAUGUUGUAUAUUUUUUUGUUAAAUAAGAGAGAAAGAUUUUUUUUUGAGACUGUUCUUCUUUUAUAAAAAUUAAAACUUGAUAUUAGUUUAGUUCGUCGUGAGACAGAGCGGUUUAUCUUGUAUAUUUUUUUUUUUUUUUAGGGUUAGUACGAAAGGAAAAUCAUGCUGGUUAAUAUUUGUGACUUUUUUAUUUGUUAUGGGAU